AUAUUUGACGAAAAAUAAAAGUAAAUAGUGGGGGUUUAAAAUUCCGUCAUCUAGAAAGAGAAAAAUUCAAAUUAAUAGCCAGAGUUUAAACCCCCGCUAUUUGUAAAUAUAAUUUUUAUUUUAAUUAGGUUUAUUUUGUUGUAAUCUUGCUGUACUUUUCAUGGUUUAGCUGUCCAUGUUGGUAUUUGCCAAAUAAUGAACUGAAAUUCUCAAACUCUUUAGUGACUUCAUUUGGCCAAAAAAAUUGUUUAGUGAGGAUGUAGAAGUCGUAGUAGAAACAUCUUAUUGCAAAAUGUAUGAUUGUUGGUUAUUUGAUUUACGCUACCAUUUCCUGUUAAAUUGUGAUUCAAUCUGUUUCAUUAGCAUGCAAUAGUAUUCAAUGCUAUAAGUUAAGUUCUAUUGUGACAUUUUUCAUGUGAUUUUUUUAGGUAUGGAUUGCAUAUAAGGAAGCAAGUUGGUUAUGCUUCAAAACUAUUUGUAUUCAUAUCACCAUCAACCUCUAUUAUUUGUUUUCUCUUAUAUUACAAAUCUGAUUAUUCUAAUGGCUACAAAUUCAACUGUUUUCAUCGUACUUAUUGUAAGUAAACAUACAUUGAGAUUUGCAGCAUCUUCUUGAGAUAUGUCUGUUUCUUUUUUGCUUCUUGUAGGAAUACUAUGACGUUCUUGAUGAAUUCAUGAAGGUUGUGAAGCAAAACUACCGAGAAAAGUUCUUGUACAGGGCUGCAAAGGACAACUGUUGUGGCACUUGCGAGUCUUGUUGCAUCUCUUAGGCUGGUUGGAGGGUCCUUAGCUGAUCAUACGUUCUUGUUCUUUUGGUGUUGGAGAAGUAAGUCUUUAGAAUUGGAGAAGUAAGUCUAGACUUUCUUUUGAAGACCCAUUUUCAAUUGUUUCGGUAGAUGAGCUACCUCUAACAACAUGUAAAAAAGGAUACAAAUGGUACUAAUGAAUGAAAAGGAUUUAUAUAA